rnacentral:rRNA from 1 species
AUCACUAAGCGGAGGAAAAGAAACUAACAAGGAUUCCCUUAGUAGCGGCGAGCGAACCGGGAGAAGCCCAGCUUGAAAAUCGCGUGUGCUUUUUCGAAGGCGGCGCGAGUUGUAGUCUGGAGAAGUGUCCUCUGCGGCGGACCCGGCCUAAGUCCCCUGGAAAGGGGCGUCAGAGAGGGUGAGAACCCCGUCGGGCCGGGACCCUGUUGCUCCACGAGGCGCUGUCGAGGAGUCGGGCUGUUUGGGAAUGCAGCCCUAAGCGGGAGGUAAAUUCCUUCCAAGGCUAAAUACGGGCGGGAGACCGAUAGCGAACAAGUACCGCGAGGGAAAGAUGAAAAGGACUUUGAAAAGAGAGUCAAAGAGUGCUUGAAAUUGCUGGGAGGGAAGCGAAUGGAGGCCUGGUGUGCGCCCCGGUCGGAUGCGGAACGGCUUUAGGGCUGGUCCGCCGCUCGACGCGGGGUGCUGGUCGGCGUGGGCUUCUCCGGCGGGAUAAAAGUUUUGGGCCGGUCGCGCGCCCCACCCUCUUCGGGGGGAGGGAUCGUCGUGGUCGGCCCGGCCGAUGCCGUCGGGGAGGUCGAGGAACCCGUGGAAGUGCGCGUCCUUCGGGGACGGGUCCUCUCCCCUGGAGAGGGCACCUGCGUACUCGGGACGCCGGCGUAGUGGGCUU